rnacentral:lncRNA from 1 species
UUCACUUGUUUGGCAUCGGUCAGAAGCAGCUUCAUCCGUGCGAAUGUACUUGUACGCACACUCUAGAAGUUCAGCAUAGAUCCGAGGGAGAGUUUUGUCAAGAGAGUAAGUAAAUCUGGAUCCCUUCAGAUCCCAUUUCAUGGCUGAUAUAGCCAUAUCUUCGUUGAGGUCCCUGACCUCAAGUGUGGCCAUGUUGAAUCGGGCCACAAAGUCUCUCUGUGUCUCUGUCACACCUUGC